UGGGGAAUAUUGCACAAUGGGGGAAACCCUGAUGCAGCGACGCCGCGUGGAGGAAGAAGGUCUUCGGAUUGUAAACUCCUGUUGUUGAGGAAGAUAAUGACGGUACUCAACAAGGAAGUGACGGCUAACUACGUGCCAGCAGCCGCGGUAAAACGUAGGUCACAAGCGUUGUCCGGAAUUACUGGGUGUAAAGGGAGCGCAGGCGGGAAGACAAGUUGGAAGUGAAAUCCAUGGGCUCAACCCAUGAACUGCUUUCAAAACUGUUUUUCUUGAGUAGUGCAGAGGUAGGCGGAAUUCCCGGUGUAGCGGUGGAAUGCGUAGAUAUCGGGAGGAACACCAGUGGCGAAGGCGGCCUACUGGGCACCAACUGACGCUGAGGCUCGAAAGUGUGGGUAGCAAACAGGAUUAGAUACCCUGGUAGUCCACACCGUAAACGAUGAUUACUAGGUGUUGGAGGAUUGACCCCUUCAGUGCCGCAGUUAACACAAUAAGUAAUCCACCUGGGGAGUACGACCGCAAGGUUGAAACUCAAAGGAAUUGACGGGGGCCCGCACAAGCAGUGGAGUAUGUGGUUUAAUUCGACGCAACGCGAAGAACCUUACCAAGUCUUGACAUCCUGCGACGGUGCUGGAAACAGUACUUUCCUUCGGGACGCAGAGACAGGUGGUGCAUGGUUGUCGUCAGCUCGUGUCGUGAGAUGUUGGGUUAAGUCCCGCAACGAGCGCAACCCUUAUGGUCAGUUACUACGCAAGAGGACUCUGGCCAGACUGCCGUUGACAAAACGGAGGAAGGUGGGGAUGACGUCAAAUCAUCAUGCCCUUUAUGACUUGGGCUACACACGUACUACAAUGGCGUUAAACAAAGAGAAGCAAGACCGCGAGGUGGAGCAAAACUCAGAAACAACGUCCCAGUUCGGACUGCAGGCUGCAACUCGCCUGCACGAAGUCGGAAUUGCUAGUAAUCGCAGAUCAGCAUGCUGCGGUGAAUACGUUCCC
rnacentral:rRNA from 1 species